GAUGAACGCUGGCGGCGUGCUUAACACAUGCAAGUCGAACGAAGCAUUUCGGUCUUAAUCUUCGGAAGCGGACUGAUCUGACUGAGUGGCGGACGGGUGAGUAACGCGUGGGUAACCUGCCCUGUACAGGGGGAUAACAGUUAGAAAUGACUGCUAACACCGCAUAAGCGCACAGGGAGGCAUCUUUCGGUGUGAAAAUAUUUAUAGGUACAGGAUGGGCCCGCGUCUGAUUAGCCAGUUGGCAGGGUAACGGCCUACCAAAGCAACGAUCGGUAGCCGGGUUGAGAGAGUGAACGGCCACAUUGGGACUGAGACACAGCCCAAACUCCUACGGGAGGCAGCAGUGGGGAAUAUUGCACAAUGGGGGAAACCCUGAUGCAGCGACGCCGCGUGAGUGAAGAAGUAUUUCGGUAUGUAAAGCUCUAUCAGCAGGGAAGAAAAUGACGGUACCUGACUAAGAAGCCCCGGCUAACUACGUGCCAGCCGCCGCGGUAA
rnacentral:rRNA from 1 species